rnacentral:rRNA from 1 species
UACGUAGGGGGCAAGCGUUGUCCGGAAUCAUUGGGCGUAAAGCGCGUGUAGGCGGCCCGGUAAGUCCGCUGUGAAAGUCGGGGGCUCAACCCUCGAAUGCCGGUGGAUACUGUCGGGCUAGAGUGCGGAAGAGGCGAGUGGAAUUCCUGGUGUAGCGGUGAAAUGCGUAGAUAUCAGGAGGAACACCCAUGGCGAAGGCAGCUAACUGGGCAUUAUCUGACGCUGAGGCGCGAAAGCGUGGGUAGCAAACAGG